rnacentral:lncRNA from 13 species
CCAGUCAGUGCGAGAGAGUUGCCAUAGGCUAAAUCUAUGGGUGGAUUAUAGAGCACUUGUUUUGUGCCUGGCCGACCCGACCCGACCCGACCUCUGUUGACUGUAGGCAUGGACUCGGAAGGCUCUGCAUCCUCAUCUCUCAAGCGCCUACCUUUCAACAAUGUCGCGCUGAAAAAACCUUCCUUCAUUCCAGCAUCCGGGAGUUCCUGUGCAGUGAGGCCAUGACCGCUCUGGGCAUUCCCACCACCCGUGCCACAUCUCUGGUUACAUCGGACCUCUAUGUCAACAGAGACCCCCUCAACAAUGGCCGGCGACUGGGCUAUACAGAAGUGGUUGGUGAAGGAGUGUGAUGGAGCAAUUGAGGUGUGUACCGAAGAGGAAGAGAUCCGUGUGAUGGACAGCACCAACCCGUGGUGCUCCGCAACUACAUUGCCCAGAAUGCCGAAAAUGGAGACUUCUCAGAGGUAUAGAAUUCACAUGGUGAAUAUUUUUGUUGUUGCACUUUCUGUUUGUAGUGAGCUCCAAAAGUAUUGGGAGGAAUAUUCUGUGCUAGAAAUAUUCAACUUUUGACUACUUUUUUUUUUUUUUUUAAUUUUACCCCUUUUUCUCCCCAAUUUCAUGGUAUCCAAUUGUUGUAGUAGCUACUAUCUUGUCUCAUCGCUACAACUCGGGCUCGGGAGAGACGAAGGUUGAAAGUCAUGCGUCCUCCGAUACACAACCCAACCAAGCAGCACUGCACAUUAACACUUAUUAAUCCAACCCGGAAGCCAGCCGCACCAAUGCGCCGGAGGAAACACCGUGCACCUGGCCACCUUGGUUAGCGCACACUGCGCCCAGCCUGCCACAGGAGUCGCUGGUGCGCGAUGAGACAAGGACACCCCUACCGACCAAGCCCUCCCUAACCCGGGCGACGCUAGGCCAAUUGUGCGUCGCCCCACGGACCUCCCGGUCGCGGCCGGUUACGACAGAGCCUGGGCGCGAACCCAGGGACUCUGAUGGCACAGCUGGCGCUGCAGUACAGCGCCCUUAACCACUGCGCCACCCGGGAGGCCAACUUUUGACUACUUUAAUACACUUAAGUGAAUUUGUUCCAAUACUUUUGCCCCCCUAAAAUGGAGGGACCAUGUACAAAGUGCUGGAAUUUCUAAACGAUCACCCAAUAUGUAUGAGAAUACCCUCAAAUUAAAGCUGACAGUCUGCACUUUAAUCUCAUAGCAAAAUCCAAAAGUACAGAUCCAAAAAUAAACAAAUGUGUCACUGUCCCAACAUUUUUGGAGCUCACUGUACUGCAUAUCCAUGGUUGGGCUGAUUACUUGAAAAAUGUAAUCAGUAACUGAUUACAAAUUACGUAACAAUAAAUCAUUAGUAAUGAUUUGGAUUACUCGAAAUGAGUAACAUUAUCAGAUUACUUUUG